AAUCUGAGAAAAGCCGAGAGGAGGAAGAAAAGAAAAAUAAGUAGGAAAAAAAAAACACCGGCAUCAGUUGUUGGUGAGAGAAGAUUUGUUUUGCUCGAAAGACAUGAGAUUAUAGGAAGUCAGAGAGGACCAGAGGAGGGACUGCAGGCUGAUGUGUCUUUCAUCCUUUCAACAUUUCUUGGAUGAUGUUGAAAACAACACCCAGGUCCCAUUUUAGCACCUGCUGACAGAUGAAUGGAUGAAGACUAGGAAACGGGCUGGGUUGGCAGGGAAAAGACAGGGAGACGGAAUCGUGUUUAUCGGCCUGUAGGAGGACGACACUGAGAAGCAUGGAGGCGUAUCAUGAACAAGGUUGCACCGUUUGUGGGUUUCUUGGGGAACAUCCAUUAGGUGAAACGGAGAGAAGCUGCGCGCCGGCGAAACCAGGGCAAUGCAUAUUCCCUUUCCGAAACCCACAGAAACACCAGUCUGGAAUCAAUCUGCUAUCACAGCGCUCGCGCGCGCGCGCGCGCACACACACACACACACACACACACACACACACACACACACACACACACGUUUUAAUCUUUAACCCCUGGUGAGACCCGAGUCCGGGCUAUUUUUCAUAUCUGCGAGUCAGCAUGUCGUAAUGUUGUGUCAGAUUUGGGGUAUGGCCCUCUGUCAUGUCUCCAAGUUCACCUGCACCUGAAGCUCUUUACCAGAGCACUGGGAAUUAACGGCCGCCAUAAAUAGUGAGCAGAGUGUGUGCGGAGAGCUGCAGAAAAGCACCGGGCAAGGAUAUAUCUGACAGGAAAGGAGCAAAUCUUCUCCCCAUGCUACCUGCUGUAAAAAGUCACAUUUCAGGGCUUCACAUCAGAGGGCAGUUAGAUUUUUCUUUUCUUUUUUUCCCCCUGUUUCUCUACAGAAGUGGGGAGAUAGCAUCCGAGUUGUUUUUAGAAGACUUUGCUUGAUUUUUCAAGCGUUAACCUGAAGAUGGAUUAUUCACGUUUUCUUUUCCAAUCAUGCGCUACAUUCAGAUAUCUAGAGGUGAUGAAGACGACUUGCUAAAGCUCAAACUGAGGAAGAAAGAAAGCCUCUGUCCUGCUGCCUUCCUGCCGUACGUUUUUAUUGGCUGUCAAGCAGCAGAGAGCGUCUGCUGCUUGACAGGAACAGUUACGGCCAGAGCUGGAAAUCAACUUUGACUUCUCCAAAUAUCCUCAAAAAGCGCCGUGGCCUGCUCCUUAGGAUAUUCAGUUCUUUGUAUUUGACAAAAUGUAACAUUUAUUGCUUGUUUCAUGAUUGGUUUUUAUGUUAUAAAUCCCUUUGAAUUGCUUUGUUGAUAAAAUGUGCUGUACAAAUAAACUUCACUUGACAUUCAUUUACUUAGUAAACCUCCGUCCUACUGGUAAACCUUUCUUAUCAUCUCAUGAUCUUCUCUGUACACUUACUGAAUUGGCCUGUGUGUGUGUGUGUUACACAGGAGCUGUACUACAAUGGUCAAU